UCUUCUUCUAGGCCCUUGUUUCCAUCCUCCAGAGUGGGCAGGAUGUCCUCAGAAGGUGUCCGAAAAUAGUGCAUGGUCGUCGGACUGACCGUCGGGGAUCGGGAGGCCGUAAUUCUUCCAGAGAUUCAUCUUCACUCACUGUCUCAUCUUAAGAAAUGGCUGGGGAAAAGAAAUCUGCAGCUGCACAUAGACACUAUCUACUCUGUCCAGUUUGUUUGAGGACCCAAGAGUCUCUAUCCUGUCACCUGCGCAGAGUCUGCAUGAAGGAUAAGACACCACCACAGAUCCUAGAGGUGGUUGAAAAGGCCAAGAAAGAUGUGUGUGACCUCCUGAAGAAUGGACGGGCUUUUAGUUAUGCAGUCCUGAAGCAAAUCGUCUCAUCACCGUUUCUUUCUUUUAUU